UGCGACGCCCAACACACAAAACAAGCGGUGAAUGCUUUGGGGUGGGGUGACUGCGUACCUUUUGUAUAAUGGGUCAGCGACUUAUAUUCUGUAGCAAGGUUAACCGAAUAGGGGAGCCGGAGGGAAACCGAGUCUUAAUUGGGCGUUAAGUUGCAGGGUAUAGACCCGAAACCCGGUGAUCUAGCCAUGGGCAGGUUGAAGGUUGGGUAACACUAACUGGAGGACCGAACCGACUAAUGUUGAAAAAUUAGCGGAUGACCUGUGGCUGGGGGUGAAAGGCCAAUCAAACCGGGAGAUAGCUGGUUCUCCCCGAAAGCUAUUUAGGUAGCGCCUCGUGAAUUCAUCUCCGGGGGUAGAGCACUGUUUCGGCUAGGGGGCCAUCCCGGCUUACCAACCCGAUGCAAACUGCGAAUACCGGAGAAUGUUAUCACGGGAGACACACGGCGGGUGCUAACGUCCGUCGUGAAGAGGGAAACAACCCAGACCGCCAGCUAAGGUCCCAAAGUCAUGGUUAAGUGGGAAACGAUGUGGGAAGGCCCAGACAGCCAGGAUGUUGGCUUAGAAGCAGCCAUCAUUUAAAGAAAGCGUAAUAGCUCACUGGUCGAGUCGGCCUGCGCGGAAGAUGUAACGGGGCUAAACCAUGCACCGAAGCUGCGGCAGCGAACGUAUCACCCAAGACAACUUUACGGAGUUGACGAUUGACGGAGCGAAGCGACGUCAAAGCGUUCAUUAAAGUCGAGUUGGCUUAGGGAUACGUUCGUUGGGUAGGGGAGCGUUCUGUAAGCCUGUGAAGGUGUGUCGUGAGGCAUGCUGGAGGUAUCAGAAGUGCGAAUGCUGACAUAAGUAACGAUAAAGCGGGUGAAAAGCCCGCUCGCCGGAAGACCAAGGGUUCCUGUCCAACGUUAAUCGGGGCAGGGUGAGUCGACCCCUAAGGCGAGGCCGAAAGGCGUAGUCGAUGGGAAACGGGUUAAUAUUCCCGUACUUGGUGUUACUGCGAAGGGGGGACGGAGAAGGCUAUGUUGGCCGGGCGACGGUUGUCCCGGUUUAAGCGUGUAGGUGUGUGUUCCAGGUAAAUCCGGUUCACUUUAACACUGAGGCGUGACGACGAGGCACUACGGUGCUGAAGCAACAAAUGCCCUGCUUCCAGGAAAAGCCUCUAAGCAUCAGGUAACAUCAAAUCGUACCCCAAACCGACACAGGUGGUCAGGUAGAGAAUACCAAGGCGCUUGAGAGAACUCGGGUGAAGGAACUAGGCAAAAUGGUGCCGUAACUUCGGGAGAAGGCACGCUGACACGUAGGUGAAGUGAUUUACUCAUGGAGCUGAAGUCAGUCGAAGAUACCAGCUGGCUGCAACUGUUUAUUAAAAACACAGCACUGUGCAAACACGAAAGUGGACGUAUACGGUGUGACGCCUGCCCGGUGCCGGAAGGUUAAUUGAUGGGGUCAGCGCAAGCGAAGCUCCUGAUCGAAGCCCCGGUAAACGGCGGCCGUAACUAUAACGGUCCUAAGGUAGCGAAAUUCCUUGUCGGGUAAGUUCCGACCUGCACGAAUGGCGUAAUGAUGGCCAGGCUGUCUCCACCCGAGACUCAGUGAAAUUGAACUCGCUGUGAAGAUGCAGUGUACCCGCGGCAAGACGGAAAGACCCCGUGAACCUUUACUAUAGCUUGACACUGAACAUUGAGCCUUGAUGUGUAGGAUAGGUGGGAGGCUUUGAAGUGUGGACGCCAGUCUGCAUGGAGCCGACCUUGAAAUACCACCCUUUAAUGUUUGAUGUUCUAACGUGGACCCGUAAUCCGGGUUGCGGACAGUGUCUGGUGGGUAGUUUGACUGGGGCGGUCUCCUCCUAAAGAGUAACGGAGGAGCACGAAGGUUGGCUAAUCCUGGUCGGACAUCAGGAGGUUAGUGCAAUGGCAUAAGCCAGCUUGACUGCGAGCGUGACGGCGCGAGCAGGUGCGAAAGCAGGUCAUAGUGAUCCGGUGGUUCUGAAUGGAAGGGCCAUCGCUCAACGGAUAAAAGGUACUCCGGGGAUAACAGGCUGAUACCGCCCAAGAGUUCAUAUCGACGGCGGUGUUUGGCACCUCGAUGUCGGCUCAUCACAUCCUGGGGCUGAAGUAGGUCCCAAGGGUAUGGCUGUUCGCCAUUUAAAGUGGUACGCGAGCUGGGUUUAGAACGUCGUGAGACAGUUCGGUCCCUAUCUGCCGUGGGCGCUGGAGAACUGAGGGGGGCUGCUCCUAGUACGAGAGGACCGGAGUGGACGCAUCACUGGUGUUCGGGUUGUCAUGCCAAUGGCACUGCCCGGUAGCUAAAUGCGGAAGAGAUAAGUGCUGAAAGCAUCUAAGCACGAAACUUGCCCCGAGAUGAGUUCUCCCUGAGACUUAGAGUCUCCUGAAGGAACGUUGAAGACGACGACGUUGAUAGGCCGGGUGUGUAAGCGCAGCGAUGCGUUGAGCUAACCGGUACUAAUGAACCGUGAGGCUUAACCUUACA
rnacentral:rRNA from 1 species